AUUGAACGCUGGCGGCAGGCCUAACACAUGCAAGUCGGGCGAGCGGCGGACGGGUGAGUAAUGUAUGGGGAUCUGCUUGACGGCGGGGGAUCACUACUGGAAACGGUACAUAAUCCCGCAUACUAUCAUAUGAACCCAUAUGGGAUUAGCGGGCAGGUAAAGUAACCGCUCACCUAGGCGACGAUCUCUAGCUGGUCUGAGAGGAUGACCAGCCACACUGUGACUGAGAGACGGGCCAGGCUCCUACGGGAGGCAGCAGUGGGGAAUAUUGCGCAAUGUGGGCAACUCUGACGCAGCCAUGCCGCGGGAAUGAAGAAGGCCUUCGGGUUGUAAAGUUCUUGCGUGAGCGAGGCGUUAGCUAGAGAGGAAGCACCGGAUAACUCCGUGCCAGCCGCCGCGGUAAUAC
rnacentral:rRNA from 1 species